GGCGGGGGCGAGCGAUAGGCGCUUAGGGAGCUGCGGCUCUUGUCCUCCCAGCUUUUAGCGGAAGGCCUCUGUUUUCUAGGGGACCCCACACCCCCUACUCAUUUGCUUUCCCUUCCAUUCCCACCCACCCAGCCCCACCUGCUUCAUUAUGCCCGCAGCCGGUGUCACUGAUCCUUAAGUGUCGCCAUAACAGAUUCUCACUCUCCACUGACGCCUCAGCUUUUCAUACCUGGAACCUCGAAUACACCCUGACCUCCAGGUCGACCCUUCCCCACCCGGGACUCGGGGUACCCCCACCCCAUUUGUGUUUCUGGUGGCGGUGCAGUACUGCUAGGUCGUUUGAGAUAUAAUAGUCCAAGGAUGCAGGUAUCGAGAAGUUUUACCUUUUUUUCUUUCUGGCUGUUCUGGUAAUUUCUUUAAUUCUCCCUUUCUCCUGGCUGUUUUGCUUUUGCUUUUCAAUACUAGGAAGAUAUGCCCCAUCACACACACGCACGCGCGCGUACACACUCACACGCACAUGCACACACACACCCUAGAACUGCAGGUGAUCUCUUUAGCAUUUCUAAAGCUUUAAGAGCAGUUAAUCCACCUGUCAGUGUUUCCAGAUUUUCUCCUUUCUUUGUUGGGGAUGACCUCAGGGCUGUUAGCCUACGGAGUGUAGGGUAUGAGUUUGGAACCAGCCAGGCGAAGGCCUCUCGCUGGGCUGCCGCUGUGCGCUCUGGGCAGCCGAGAACUUCAGGCUGCCUUGUCUUCCAAAAGCUAAAUUCCUGCUGGACACCACCACCGUCUCCUCUACCACACUAAAAGCUUCCAGCUUGCUUUGUGCACGUGUUUGGCUCCCAACCUGGUGAUUUCCACGAGCCAUGCGGUGGGGCAGGGGCGGGUGCUGAUUUUCAGAGAGAAUUUGCUGCGGCGAGCACCGGGUGUGGCCUCGGAGGGGGGGGGGACUCGGCACCGCCACCAGCACCGAGACUCCACUUUGGGGCGUACAGGAAGCAGUCGCCUGGCUCCUCCCCAGUUCACUACGAUAAGUGCGCUAAGAGGAAACCGAACGCUUUCAACAGAGAGGCUGGAGUUGCUUUGCCGGUGACCCUCAGAGAUGAAGUAUAUAUAGCCGAGGAGGAGAAAAGGGUGGGGUGAGGUUUAUGCCCCUUCACUCCUUUCAGACCUGAAAAUGACCUCGUGAUUCCAGCACCCCACCCUUCUCAAGGCAGAGGGAAGGACUGCAGCAGAGAACUUCUAUGAGAUUUCUAAUCCUGCUAGUUUCAAAUAGCACAAAUUCAGAAACAUUAGUGUGAAUGUUUUAAUCCACCAGGGCUGUUUGGUCUCAGAGUUCUCUCCCUGCUCACAUAUUCUAGGAUGUCCAGCCUAAAGUCUGGAGGCUGCGCAAAACGCUGGCCCUGGCAGACCGGGCAAGAUAUUUGCUAGGAUGACUUUGUAACCUGCAUUACGCUUGCUCUCGCAUUCAUCAGCAGAGAGAGAUGAGGGUUAGGAAGAGACCCCAACAAACUCACCUGUUUUUCUGCCCUCAGGUACCCAGGUGCAGAUGAAAAGUGGAGGAAUGGAUUUAUUUUUAAUCUGCUCCACAUAAACCACAUUCUUUCACACUCAGUGUGCAUGGAUCUGUGUGUGCCACGCUCCUGGGGACUUGUGAUUUCCUUUCCUUUGUGCCAGCUCCCUUCCCGCGGAGUUUCAGGUUAUCCCAAGGGUUUUAAGGCCCUCAGCAUUUUUAGAUUUAUUUAUUUUUGCCGUGGCUCCUUGCCGAAGCCUUUGACUGCAGAGAAGGCUGCCUGAGAGGGAGUGGGGCGGCGGCUGCACUGCAGGGCCAGUGAGAGGCUGCAGAGAAGCCGGUGGAGCACCCGCUGCCACUCUUUGUGUGCAGGAAGAACAAGGAGGUGCACAGGCAUGGUGAAGGGUGAGAACGGGAGAGCACAGGGGCCCUUUCCUUGGCUGACCCUUGCCCAGGGUGUGGUCGCCCUGCCUUGGGUUUGCCUGCCCGGUGCCUGCUCCUUUUUUAGUAUUCUGUCCAGUCAUCCUCCUUUUUAAUCCUCUUCCCAGAAUCCUGCUUGGAAAGUCCACGGCCAUGCACUCUGUGUGACAAAGCAAUGGUGAGAUGAGCAACUUUAGAAAAUCUGGUUUGCAAGAAAAACUUGACUGGGCUGGGGAUAUAGCCUAGCAGCACACACCUGCCUGGCAAGCAUGAGGUCCUGAGUUCCAUUCCUGCACCAAAAAAAGAAAGAAAAACUUGAUUGUUCCUUCCCCUCACCAGAAACAUUUCUAAAUCAAUGUUGCAUGUAAUGUUGUCUUCACCUCUUUAGAAGGAAGCUCUUGAGUCUCAUUAUGUACUUGUCCACUUAUUCCUUUAAGCAUAUCCUGCACAGACAUGAAAGUGGUUGAGGCUUACCCACACACACUCUCAGGUAUCAAGAUUAUUUUAAAAAUAAAUGUAGAAAUCUGUUAGUGCAAUGGCAAGCAGAAACACUGAAAUAACACCCAGGAUUUGGAGGCAGAUUUAUUUAUGUUAUGAGCACUGAUCGAGAUCAUUCCCACAGUAUUAAGCCCUGAUCUCUGGUGGGCUAGGGCUUAUAUGAGAUAAGCAAGCAGGAAGUACAGAGGCAGAAUGGCUUGUCAGUUGGGGAGUAAUUUAUACAGUGUGCAUUGUAGUGACCAGCUAUGCAUCAGUGACCAGCCAUUUCUAAGAGACAGGAGCAACCGGAUCUGGAACGGGGGCUGUUUUCUGGACUACUACACAAACGGAAGUACAACGGCUGGUGGAGGUGGGGGUGCAUUUUCUGCUACAUUGGUGCCACUCAGUAGUAUCUCUACUGAUCUGGUUUUUUCUUAAUACCUCUAUAAUCCUCUAAAAACUGUUUCAGGUCAUUUGUUGAUAAGCAAAAGAGAUAUACAUUACCAUAAAGGUCAUAACUUUUAACUGUGUUAGAACCACUGGAAAUAUUUCACUUCCUCUCCACUGCUAAGAGAGUUCAAGAGCUUCAGAUGGCUAGGACUCAGUGACUGAUGGCUUUUCCACUCAUCAUUCUGAACCCCAGUGUUGCAAAAAGUUCUGUAUUAACAUUUGCUUUGAAAGGUGCUGCUUUAGGCUGAGGUUCUGGCAGGACAAAAGCUUCAGAGUGGGGGUCAGGAGAGCCAAAGUUCUGUCCUGCAGCAGUGAUGUGUAAAACUGGAGCUAGGCCAGAACAGCAGCUGGGUCUGCACACACCUCACCGUAAGGUGUCACCGUCAGUGGCAUUGACAUGGCAUCAGCCAUGGAAGGAGGGGUAAAGGGAAUAACACAUGCAGGCGAUUGCUAACUAUUGUUUAGUAACAAAAUACAGAUGAGAUGGAUAUGCAGAGCCAACAGCAGAGGCCAGACAGGUUAAAAAUGUGCCACGUCACACAGCUACCUCAAGUCUGGACUCCAGUGGCUCCCAGGUACAGCAGUGCUCUGCUCGGAGCCAUUUUCUACCUCCCUGUCUAAGAAUUUGAGAAUUACAUGCUCCUGUAGCAGAAGCUAGCAUGCAUAUAGUAUAACAACCCUCUCCUGUUUGGGGGAUGCCAAUGUGAACUGGUCUAGACCGUGAGGAAACUGGUAGAGAGACUGUUCCAUUUGGAGAACUAAUGGUGGCCAUAACUUUAUGAUUGAUACAACGAUCUCGGUAUUUUAAAAAAGUUGCUGCCACCAGUACAGUGGACACAUUAACUGCUCAUGUAACUUUUACAGGGAGGAGGGACUUUCUGGACAUAGCUCUCGAAAUUGGUUUACAAAGCACCAUUUCAGGAUUUAAUAAACUGAAAGGCAAUUUAGGUAAUGGAAACUCUUUAAAAUAAACCUCAUUGUGAUUUCUAUUUUCUAGUUAAGAUAUUUUCAUUUACCACAUCUAUAAAUGGGUUUUCUUUAAUAAAAUUUACCAUAAUGAAUAGAAGAAGAAAUGCUGGCAUUCAACACCUCAUUACUGAGUUUGUCAUGCUGCUUACAAAUUUUUUCAAAUAUGAAUAAAAUCUACAGGAAAAUACGAA